rnacentral:rRNA from 1 species
GUCCACGCUGUAAACGAUGGACACUAGGUGUGGGGGGUAUCGACCCCCUCCGUGCCGAAGCUAACGCGAUAAGUGUCCCGCCUGGGGAGUACGGCCGCAAGGCUAAAACUCAAAGGAAUUGACGGGGGCCCGCACAAGCAGCGGAGCGUGUGGUUUAAUUCGAUGCAACGCGAAAAACCUUACCAGGGUUUGACAUGCACGGGACAGCCCCGGAAACGGGGUCUCCCUUCGGGGUCCGUGCACAGGUGCUGCAUGGCUGUCGU